UGAGCUGUCGACUAAUGGUAAGUCACUUAGGUUUGAGCUAAGCUAUUGGUAGUUCGAAUCUACCCGGUUCAA
rfam:Babjeviella inositovora NRRL Y-12698 unplaced genomic scaffold BABINscaffold_21, whole genome shotgun sequence.